CAAUUUCAUUGAUUUGAAUGUGAAAUUUAUAAUCUGAUAUCAUUUGCCUUCAUAUAUCGUCGUUUUAAUUAAGUUAUUCAUAAAGACUGGUUGACAAAGUUCGUUACCAGAAAUCAAAGUCUGACAAAGAUGACGACCUUUCUUCUGAUGGUGUUAUAACCGACAUGGGAUAUUGCCUGGAAAGAUGGAAUGGAAUGAUAUGUGAGGCAAUGCUGGGUGAUCGGUUCUGAAGAU